AUAUUGGACAAUGGGGGGAACCCUGAUCCAGCCAUGCCGCGUGUGUGAAGAAGGCCUUUUGGUUGUAAAGCACUUUAAGCGAGGAGGAGGCUCUUCUAGUUAAUACCUAGGAUGAGUGGACGUUACUCGCAGAAUAAGCACCGGCUAACUCUGUGCCAGCAGCCGCGGUAAUACAGAGGGUGCGAGCGUUAAUCGGAUUUACUGGGCGUAAAGCGUACGUAGGCGGCUUUUUAAGUCGGAUGUGAAAUCCCUGAGCUUAACUUAGGAAUUGCAUUCGAUACUGGGAAGCUAGAGUAUGGGAGAGGAUGGUAGAAUUCCAGGUGUAGCGGUGAAAUGCGUAGAGAUCUGGAGGAAUACCGGUGGCGAAGGCGGCCCCCUGGACAAAGACUGGCGCUCAGGUGCGAAAGCGUGGGGAGCAAAC
rnacentral:rRNA from 1 species